UACGUAGGUGGCAAGCGUUGUCCGGAAUUAUUGGGCGUAAAGCGCGCGCAGGCGGUCCUUUAAGUCUGAUGUGAAAGCCCCGGGCUCAACCUGGGAAUGGCAAUGGAUACUGGCAAGCUAGAGUGCGGUAGAGGGUAGUGGAAUUCCCGGUGUAGCGGUGGAAUGCGUAGAGAUCCGGAGGAAGACCGGUGGCGAAGGCGGCCUGCUGGGCAGUUACUGACACUGAGGCGCGACAGCGUGGGGAGCAAACAGG
rnacentral:rRNA from 1 species